AUUGAACGCUGGCGGCAGGCCUAACACAUGCAAGUCGAGCGGAGCGGCGGACGGGUGCGUAAUGCCUAGGAAUCUGCCUGGUCGUGAGGGAUACCGUCCGGACACGGGAGCUAAUACCGCAUACUAUCAGAUGAGCCUCGGUCGGAUUAGCUAGUUGGUGGGGUAAAGGCCUACCAAGGCGACGAUCCGUAUCUGGUCUGAGAGGAUGAUCAGUCAAACUGGAACUGAGACACGGUCCAGACUCCUACGGGAGGCAGCAGUGGGGAAUAUUGGACAAUGGGCGAAAGACUGAUCCAGCCAUGCCGCGUGUGUGAAGAAGGUCUUCGGAUUGUAAAGCACUUUAAGUUGGGAGGCGGUACCAACAGAAUAAGCACCGGCUAACUGCGUGCCAGCAGCCGCGGUAAUUC
rnacentral:rRNA from 1 species